GAGGGGACAGAAGAGAUAUAAUGAAAGCAGUAGUAAUAAUCAUAAUAAACUUAACUAAUUCCAUCCAGGAGGGAUAUGUUUUUAUCUGAUAUACACCCAGCUGUAGCAGGAUUAGUACCAGUUUGCUUUUUAAUAAAUGACAGAUUACUGGUAAACUGGUUGGGAGAGGAAUGACAAGGGGCUUUGAUAAGUUGGGUAUUGAGGCAGUGCUUGCGAGACAUCACGGGUGAGCAGAAGUGCCUCAUUCCAAAGUUGUUUUGUUGUGUCUCUUCAAAUCGACAUAUACAGAUCCAGAGGUUCUGAUCAGACGCAGGGUCUCGACCUCUUGUCUCUACCACGUCCUAGUUCUAUGAUACUGGGCCUAUUACUUAAUGUUAUCUUCUAGUGCACUUAUAGCUGCUUCACAUGGCAGUACAUAUUUUCUUAUUUACUGUCUGUUUUUCGCACUACAAUGGAAACUACUUGAGGAUGAAGACCGUGUUUUGUUCCUUUCCAGAGCCUGAGCUUAAU
rnacentral:lncRNA from 1 species